rnacentral:rRNA from 1 species
UGGGGAAUAUUGCACAAUGGGGGAAACCCUGAUGCAGCGACGCCGCGUGAACGAAGAAGGUAUUCGUAUCGUAAAGUUCUGUCCUAUGGGAAGAUAAUGACAGUACCAUAGAAGAAAGCUCCGGCUAAAUACGUGCCAGCAGCCGCGGUAAUACGUAUGGAGCGAGCGUUGUCCGGAAUUAUUGGGCGUAAAGGGUACGCAGGCGGUUUAAUAAGUCGAAUGUUAAAGAUCGGGGCUCAACCCCGCAAAGCAUUGGAAACUGAUAAACUUGAGUAGUGGAGAGGUAAGUGGAAUUCCUAGUGUAGUGGUGAAAUACGUAGAUAUUAGGAGGAAUACCAGUAGCGAAGGCGACUUUCUGGACACAAACUGACGCUGAGGUACGAAAGCGUGGGGAGCAAACAAG